GGGCCGCACGCGCGUUACACUGGUCGAGCCAGCGAGUGUUUUCCUUGGCCGGUGGGCCUGGGUAAUCUUGUGAAACUCGACCGUGCUGGGGAUAGAGCAUUGCAAUUAUUGCUCUUCAACGAGGAAUUCCUAGUAGAUGCUUUUCAUCAGAAAGCGUCGAUUACGUCCCUGCCCUUUGUACACACCGCCCGUCGCUACUACCGAUCGAAUGGCUUAGUGAGGUCUUUGGACUGCUUUGGUUCGGCUGGCGACGGCUGAACCCUGGCGGGAAGUCGAUCAAACUUGGUCAUUUAGAGGAAGUAAAAGUCGUAACAAGGUCUCCGUAGGUGAACCUGCGGAGGGAUCAUUGAAAAAGGUUGGCAUGUUAAUCAUGCCUUUACCUCAUUUCCUUGUGGAGAUUAACUCUUUUCUUUGGUGAAAAGCUGCUGAAAAGCUUGGCUUAUUCACCAAGGCAUUACAAAAUAUCUUGUAUUAAUUGUCUAUGACAAUACAUUUAAAAAUUUAAAACUUUCAACAACGGAUCUCUUGUCGCUCGUAUCGAUAAGAAGCACGGAGAGAUGCGAUACGUAGUGUGAAUUGCAGAUUUUUGUGGAUCAUCGAGUUUUUGAACGCAUAUUGCGCCCUCCGUUGAGGAAGGCAUACCUGUCUGAGUGUUGUUAAAACCUCAUCAUGAACAUCUGUUGAUGUUUCAUGGUAUUGGAAUGUUGCUUAGAAACGUUAGCGUGUUAAGCAUCUUCUCAAAGUGUUUCGACUUCGUUUUGGUGGAAGCAUUAACAAUGAGUUUCUUGGAACCCUGCUGUUAUGUGUGAAACCAAAGAAACGAGUUGUCGUUAAGCCUAGAAAUUUUAAGAGUUCAACCUCAGAUCAGGUAAGAAGACCCGCUGAACUUAAGCAUAUCAAUAAGCGGAGGAAAAGAAACCAACUGGGAUUCCCUUAGUAGUGGCGAACGAAGAGGGAAAAGCUCAACCUUGAAAUCGAGCAAGGCAACUUGUUCGAGUUGUGGGUUGUGGAGGUGUGGUCGACUAGAGCUUGAGUCUAAGUCCUUUGGAACAAGGCGUCAAGGAGGGUGAGAACCCCGUUUAUGGCUCGAUGCUUCUGGUCAAUGUGUCCCACCUUCUUAGAGUCGAGUUGUUUGGGAAUGCAGCUCAAAAUGGGAGGUAAAUUCCUUCUAAAGCUAAAUACGGACGAGAGACCGAUAGCGUACAAGUACAGCUAUGGGCAGAUGAAAAGCACUUUGAAAAGAGGGUGAAAUAGUACGUGAAAUUGUUGAAAGGGAAGCGUUUGGUGUCAGCCCACGGUGUUGAAAGGGUCCUCAGUUUCGGCUGCUGGUCACCCUUCGACACUGGGCCAGCAUCAGUUCUCGAGUGUGGGAAAAAGAUUGUGAGAAUGUGGCUCUCAUUCGUGAGAGUGUUAUAGCUCGCGAUUUCAUACCGCCUUGGGGACUGAGGUUUGCGAUGACUCGAUCAUCAAGGAUGCUGGCGUAAUGGUUCCAAGCGACCCGUCUUGAAACACGGACCAAGGAGUCUAACAUCUAUGCGAGUGUUUGGGUGGAAAGCCCAUACGCGUAAUGAAAGUGAUACUGCAGGCGAGAACCGUAAGGUGCAUCGUCCACCGGUCUGGAGGUUUACCGAAAGAUCCGAGUAGGAGCAUGGCUGUUGGGACCCGAAAGAUGGUGAACUAUGCCUGAACAGGGUGAAGCCAGGGGAAACUCUGGUGGAGGCUCGUAGCGAUUCUGACGUGCAAAUCGAUCGUCUGAUUUGGGUAUAGGGGCGAAAGACUAAUCGAACCC
rnacentral:rRNA from 1 species